CACUAACAACUCAGUAUCCUUUUCCUUGAAUUGAAUGGGGUCAAAUUUCUCUUCAUCAUGAAGCUUCUGCACAUAAAGCAUGAAACCAAGAAAAGCUGCUCCUGAUGGAAAGAAAAUGUAAGACGGAACACCAAAAUCAUUAGCCACAUCUAUCAUCGGCGUGCAGAGCAUAUCGAGAACAAGACCUGCAAGUCGAGGCGAGUCGACGCUAGACUCAGAUUGAGUGAUCUUCAACACAGCUUCUUUG
rnacentral:misc_RNA from 1 species